UCGGAUUGUAGUCUGCAACUCGACUACAUGAAGCUGGAAUCGCUAGUAAUCGCGAAUCAGAAUGUCGCGGUGAAUACGUUCCCGGGUCUUGUACACACCGCCCGUCACACCAUGGGAGUCAGUAACGCCCGAAGUCAGUGACCCAACCGGAACCGGGAGGGGAGCUGCCGAAGGUGGGACCGAUAACUGGGGUGAAGUCGUAACAAGGUAUC
rnacentral:rRNA from 1 species